UUUUUGCUUUCAUUACCUGUGUUUUUAGUGUCAUAUCCAAUAAAUCAUUGUCAAGUCCAGUGUCAUGAAGCUUUCCCUAUAUGUUUUCUUAUAGGAAUUUUAUAAAUUUAGGUUUUAUGUUUAAGUCAUUAAUAUAUUUUGAGUUAAUGGUGUAAAAUAAAGGCCCAACUUCAUUCUUUUGCAUGUAGAUAUCCAGUUUUUUCAAUAUCAGUUGUUGAAGAGACUGUUUUUCCCCACUGAGUGGUCUUGGCGUCCUUGUCAAAGAUCAUGUUUCUUUAAAUGUGGUCCAUGAACCACCUGAAAUAAUUUUUAGCACAUUCUCCAUUCUAGCUAACUGUACUUUGGGAAGAAAAAGGGGUUUAUGUGGCAAGAAUCUGCAUUAUUAACAAGUUUUCGUAAAUUUGUUUAAGUUCUUUGUAGAUUCUGGAUAUUAGCCCUUUGUCAGAUGAGUAGAUUAUAAAACUUUUCUCCCAUUCCGAGUUUUUUCCAAUUCUGUGAAAAAAGUCAUUGGUAGCUUGAUGGGGAUGGCAUUAAAUCUAUAAAUUACCUUGGGCAGUAUGGCCAUUUUCACAAUAUUGAUUCUUCCUAUCCCUGAGCAUGGAAUGUUCUUCCAUUUGUUUGCAUCCUCUUUUAUUUCCUUGAGCAGUGGUUUGUAGUUCUCCUUGAAGAGGUCCUUCACAUUCCUUGUAAGUUGGAUUCCUGGGUAUUUUAUUCUUUGAAGCAAUUGUGAAUGGGAGUUCACUCAUGAUUUGGCUCUCUGUUUGUCUCUGUUUGUUAUUGGUGUAUAGGAAUGCUUGUGAUUUUUGCACAUUGAUUUUGUAUCCUGAGACUUUGCUGAAGUUGCUUAUCAGCUUAAGGAGAUUUUGGGCUGAGACAAUGGGGUUUUCUAAAUAUACAAUCAUGUCAUCUGCAAACCAGUACAAUUUGACUUCCUCUUUUCCUAAUUGAAUACCCUUUAUUUCUUUCUCCUGCCUGAUUGCCCUGGCCAGAACUU
rnacentral:lncRNA from 1 species